rnacentral:rRNA from 1 species
AUCAAUAAGCGGAGGAAAAGAAACCAACAGGGAUUGCCUUAGUAACGGCGAGUGAAGCGGCAACAGCUCAAAUUUGAAAUCUGGCCCUUGGGUCCGAAUUGUAAUUUGUAGAGGAUGAUUUUGGUGCGGUAUCUUCCGAGUUCCUUGGAACAGGACGCCUUAGAGGGUGAGAGCCCCGUACGGUUGAAUGCCUAGCCUCUGUAAAUCUCCUUCGACGAGUCGAGUAGUUUGGGAAUGCUGCUCUAAAUGGGAGGUAAAUUUCUUCUAAAGCUAAAUAUUGGCCAGAGACCGAUAGCGCACAAGUAGAGUGAUCGAAAGAUGAAAAGCACUUUGAAAAGAGGGUUAAAUAGCACGUGAAAUUGUUGAAAGGGAAGGAUUUGUGACCAGACUUUUUCUGGGCGGAUCAUCCGGGGUUCUCUCCGGUGCACUUCGCCCAGUAAAGGCCAGCAUCGGUUUUCGGCGUGGGAUAAAAGCAGUAGGAAUGUGGCUCUCUACGGGGAGUGUUAUAGCCUAUUGUAUAAUACCGCGCUGGGGACCGAGGUUCGCGCUUCUGCAAGGAUGCUGGCGUAAUGGUUAUCAAUCACCCGUCUUGAAACACGGACCAAGGAGUCGAACAUUUGUGCGAGUGUUUGGGUGUUAAACCCUCACGCGUAAUGAAAGUGAACGGAGGUGAGAGCCUUUACGGGUGCAUCAUCGACCGAUCCUGAAGUUUUCGGAUGGAUUUGAGUAAGAGCAUAACUGUUCGGACCCGAAAGAUGGUGAACUAUGCGUGGAUAGGGUGAAGCCAGAGGAAACUCUGGUGGAGGCUCGCAGCGGUUCUGACGUGCAAAUCGAUCGUCAAAUCUGCGCAUGGGGGCGAAAGACUAAUCGAACCAUCUAGUAGCUGGUUACCG